rnacentral:rRNA from 1 species
GACGAACGCUGGCGGCGUGCUUAACACAUGCAAGUCGAACGGAAAGACCCUGCUUUUGUGGGGUGCUCGAGUGGCGAACGGGUGAGUAACACGUGAGUAACCUGCCCUUGACUUUGGGAUAACUUCAGGAAACUGGGGCUAAUACCGGAUAGGAGCUCCUGCUGCAUGGUGGGGGUUGGAAAGCUUCGGCGGUUGGGGAUGGACUCGCGGCUUAUCAGCUUGUUGGUGGGGUAGUGGCUUACCAAGGCUUUGACGGGUAGCCGGCCUGAGAGGGUGACCGGCCACAUUGGGACUGAGAUACGGACCAGACUCCUACGGGGGGCAGCAGUGGGGAAUAUUGCACAAUGGGCGGAAGCCUGAUGCAGCAACGCCGCGUGCGUGAUGACGGCCUUCGGGUUGUAAACCGCUUUCGCCUGUGACGAAGCGUGAGUGACGGUAAUGGGUAAAGAAGCACCGGCUAACUACGUG